rnacentral:lncRNA from 1 species
UCGAUUGUGUAACUUGAAUAAUCGAUUAUUAUGCUUAAAAUCCGCAUAUGAUUUUUGAACGAUCUACAGAUAAUCGAUUAUGCAGAUCAUAUAAUCGAUUAUGCAAGCACAAAAUCAGCAAUUAGUGAUUGGCAAUUAAGCCCUGGUCUUGGUGACUUUGAGCACUAUAAAUACACCUCUAAUUCACGUUUUUAAGUACAACAACUGAUUAUAAUUCUUUCAUAAAGCUUACUUACUCUUCUCUCAUCAUUUCAUAUCUAUUUCAUAAUUUGUGAG